UUCACACCAACACGUUAUGUCACAAUAGACAAUGUCUGUGUAGAGCUGGCUUUGUCUACAUAGCCAUCAUAGACAAGUGUAUUCCUCUGCAAAGACUUGGCUCCAGGUGCUCUACACAUGCAGAGUGUGAGGCAAGAAAUGCAGUGUGCGAAAACAGAACAUGUGCAUGCACUCAAAACCAUGUGGAAGUACAAGGAGCAUGUGAGCCCUUGAAAUCACUAAAUGAGGAGUGUACAGUAGGUGCUCAGUGUCGGCCAGCUCACAGUGACUGUCUGGGUGGCAGGUGUG